CGAAGGCAUGAUUUUUGGUUGAUAAAUCCCUGUUACCUUAAGGAAGGCGUUCCUGUUGUUGUCUGGAGGAGAGGACAAGGAGCUGCCAGGCACAGGGUCUCGUGCUGCUGGGCCUGCAGCUCUGCCCGGCAAAUGCUGAGGGGGCGGCUGAGCGGUGCCAGUGGAACACAGGGACACAGCACAUGUGCACAAACAUGCACACGUGCCAAUUUGCUCUUCUACCCCGUGGUUUAACAGGAGAAAAAGGAAAGUCUUCCUCUCUUUCCUGAUUCCCCCCAUCAACCGGUGUAUUUUCUUUCCUUCGCUUUUGAUUAAAGUCAGGAUGUUGCAAUGGACGCGUACUGCACUCCCUGCCCAGACUAAUUAGUGAAUGCUGCGUAACGCUGGACGUUAAUUUGUGCUGGAGAACAGGCACACGGCAUUUGCAGGGUAUGCUGUUCACACUGCACCUACUGAGCAAAAUGCCAGAUAAUCUUCCAGUUAAUCCCAGUGUGUUGCUUGCAAUGGAGUGUUGAUCGUUAUUAUCGCCCUUUCCAGCUGGAAGCCAGUUCUAGGCUGGGUAUUUUCAGUUGCUCUUUGAGAGCCAUUUUCAAAACAGAAAGAUUUAUGCUUUGGAAAAUUGUGCAGCCCUUCAUCUGAGUUGCUGAAACAUCUUUCCAAGACAACUGUUGUAUGACUACGGCUGUAACUCCCACCAGAGAUUAUCUUAUCACACUAAUGCAUCGUUAAAGUAGGAAGACAAAAAGGAGUUUUUCUUUCUCCUUGGCAGUGACAUCCUACCUGAAGUCUCCAAGGAUGAUUGUGGGGAAAGGUUUGUGUUACAAGCUGAAAAUACUUUUCCUGAUGUCUGAAGCAUUUGAAUCAGCUGUCUUCCUACCACACGCGCUGACAGCUUUCCUCUCGGUGCUUUCAAGCCUCAAAAAACCCCAGCAGGAUCUCAGAUCAGCCUCACUGAGAACCUCAUCAAUGACAACUGUGACAACAUCAACCAAGGGACAUCAACAAGGACAGAAAGAGGCAGAAGAACAAGAGGCAGUUUUAUCACCCCAGCUAAUUGGAGCUGCAUGUCUGGAAGUGCCCGGCCUUGGUGUGUUCCCAUGUUGUGUGUCCCACUGGGGCAGGAACCCAGCUGGAACCCGAGGGAAGAGGACACCUCCGAGCUGAGGAGGUUUCAGCAACUUAAGAAAGGUACUGGAAUUACUGGAGCUCUCCACAUCCCAAUGAGAACCCCUUGUGUCUGUGUCUAAACUCCAGGAAUUAUUGUAAGUCCUGUAUGCUCUAUGGGUCAGGCUUGGGCCAGCCAAGGGCCACAGAAAGCUCUUCUGUGACACAUGAUGUUGUGUGGCUGCAAUGUGACAUUAACCUCAGGUCAUUACUGUCCUCUGUAUCUUGUUCUACUCUUCUGUGGUGCCUACUGAUGAGACUUUGCACUAUUGUAACACAGUCCCUUGAGUGAGAACAACCAUCAUCAGCUAGGGUGAAGCAUCCCCAUUCAGCUGGGGUUUCCACCUUUCCCCCACAAAUCUUAAGCUAGACAUUAAAUGAGGCUUUAAAAUAUGUUACAAUAAAUACCGAACAGGCACGCACACACAAAGCUGCAGUAAUAAAAGAAAGGACUUACAGAGCAUGUUCAUGGUUAGACAGGAGCUGGUCUGCUGCAGAAGAGCAGGAGGAGCUUGGAGACAGAGGAACAGCCACUUUUAGUGCAGAAAGGAGGAAAGACAGACACAGUGAGGGAGUGAGGAGAGAAAGGGAAAAACACAGAGACAGUUAAUAGGAAGAUGCUUCCCAGCCAGCCUGACAGUAAACACUGAGAAAUUAUAUUUCAAUAAUGCCAAAGUUAGAGCUACAUCCCCAAACCUCCCACCAAAGGGGAAACUUAUUCUCACAGUAGUGGGGGGAACUAACUGGGUUAGAACUGUAAAAGCCAUAAGCUGGGAUCCUUUUUUCAUAAAUCAUCAUUUUGGUAAUCCUUCAGCUUUUAAUAUCUUUUUUCUGGCUCACUGAUAUGAUUUUAGGCAGGAAUGUUCUUCUAAGCCCAUUUUGCAAAAGCUCUUCAGUAUGGCUCUAAGAGGGGAUUUGGUAGCUAAAUUGUCUUUCUUUUCCUAAUUUCCCAAGCACCACCAACCCAUUUGGUCUGAUUGAAGAGCCUCUUUUGAAGAAACCACCCAUAUAUCUUAAACAAAAGUCUAGGGAGUAGUAACUAAGUCACUUAAUUUCUACCCAUGACAAGUUGGUAUGUUCACUGCCAAGAAAUGUGAUUUAUGAGGCAAUGUAGACCUGCUAUAGAUCCCUGGCUGGUGAUCCUUGAGCCUUUUGACACCUCUAGUGUGUUGGAAAUGUCAGUCUGCUUUUCUUAAGUACGGAUGCAGGAGUAAUUACUGAGCUCCUUCAUUUUGUCAGAUGGCAGUAUAGGAAUACAGUGCUUACUAUUUAAUUGUUAGUGAGGUUCUAACUACACGUGGCUGCUCACCAGCACCCUGUGCUGGCUUUACAAAUACCCUGCUGUUGGUGGAGAGCGAGGUACUGCUGGUCUCCCACCAACCCUCCAAGUGUAAUGGACAAUCACCAGUGCCUCUGAACGCAGUUAUCAGCUCUACCUCCCGUUCCCAGUCUUGCAUUUUCCUUCUGACCAGUCAACAAGAGCCUCAUAAAGUGUGAAUGGAGCAGAAAAAUGUCCUGUAUAAGCAGCAGCAGUUCUUCUUAGACCUUUUCAUAAAUGGUGGUUUCCUUGGAUUUUAUUGCCCCCCCCGCCUCAAUCAGCAAGGUGCUUGGAGAUAUACAGGCAGCCCUUGGUCCUUGUUGUAGAUGUUGAUGUCGCUGUUCUGUUCACCUGGGCUGUUCUGGGGAUAAAAACCACGCUAUUGCCUGUGUGUCGCACAGGACCUUGCUAAAUGUUUCACCCUUGGGGAGGGGGAAAAUUUAAUCUUUAAUUUCUUAAGAUAUAAUAAAAGAAAAGCCAUGCUGCAGUUGAUAAUUUUCUCUAUUGAACACCUACCCCUCACCGCUAGAAGUUUGUGCCCUAUUUUCAGAACAAAGGUUCUGGUUUCAGUUUUCGGUCGCAGGAUCCUCUUUGCUGUGGGAUGGGCAGGACGGCUCGGGAGCACCGCAGCCCUGCUGCUCCGCCACUCAUUGCGCCGACAGUAAGAAGCCCCAGGUAAGCACACAUCAUUUCACAGCCACAUCUCCCAAGGCAAGCCCACGCACAUAAAGGAAGGAGAUUUUUAAGGAAGUAAAUUUAGCCUAUAGCUUAUUUUAAAGGAUUGCAAUGGGCUUGUUUUAAAACUUAUUAAGAACAAAGAGUCUUUCAAAAACAGAUAAAGAAACAAGGCAUAACUAAAGUGCAUCGUUUCCCUAAGUUCUUUGAGCUGGUUUUUUACAGACUCCUCUCUUGCAUCCUUUGUUUGUUUUGCUCCUGUGUAAGCACAGAAGCCGCACGGGGCUGUGUGUAUGUGUAUGUGUGUAACGCGGGAGCCCAGGAUGCUGAGGUGCAUGUGAUGGGGAGGUGGACGUGAUGCUCCUGUCGAACAAACGUCCCCAUCCUCUGCACCAACAGCGCUGGGUGCUGGGCUGUCGAUGGGAUGAAGAGCUCUUUGAAGAUCUGGUAACGCUUCUUGAGGUGUCACUGGUAAUAGCUUUCUUGCCUAUGAAGUAGUUGCUUUGUGCAGUUCUUUUCUCGAGUAUUUUAUCCAAGUGUUAAAAAGUGUUUUCAUUGCUAAUAAAUACUAACUACAGUGCUAUGGGAAUGUGUCAAAAAAGCAUGAUUGGGCAUGAAUCUCACUGAAUAAAUUAUAUGUGCCUUUAAUAUACUAAUGUAAAUUGUUACUGUUUCUGUGCACCACCACAGCUUACAGUGAUAAGAGUACUCAUACAUAACAUUAACGUAAGAUGCUACUGGCUUCUUGAUUUUUCUUUUCUUUGAGGCAAAUACUUGAGUUUGCCUGUUUGGCUACAAUUCCUGUAGCAAUGCUGCAUCCUUCCGUUCCUUCCACAGUGACAAAUCUGUAUCAUGUUUCUUCCACUUAAAAAAAGAGUGUGUACUACUGUGAUUUGCACUUAAACUGCUGUUAUGUGUCUUUCCAGAGGUGGUUCCAGUGGUGGAAAAAUCCACAGCCAGGACUUUGAGGCUAAAGGAAUUUCUGUUUCAUUUUGAGAGAGGAGUGCAAACCGCAGGCUGAUGCCCUUGCAAAGGCCAUGCCAAUGCUUGGCUGGUGCUACGGGCCAUGCAAGUACCUGCUGGUCUGCAGGUAUUGGCAAGUGAAUGCCCAGGCUAGUGACCCAUGAGCCAGUGUCCUCUGCAACUCCGAAUCCUCCUAGGAUGGAGUGAACUCACCAACAACACUCUUGCUAGCUUCAAGAGGAUCAACAACCGGCCUGGAAGAGCAUCUUUAUGAACUAGAGCAAAGUUAAUGAUCUUGAAAGCAAAUGCAUCCAGCUGCACUUGGAUUCAUAGCGGGGUGGCAUCACUUGCAGGUGGCCCAGGUGCCUGCUCGAGUCUCCGAGUCCAUUCCCGCUGCAUGCGUGCGUUCCAUGUCAGUAUUUAAGGAACAACAUCUAAUGAACACAGGCUUACACCUGACAUUCCCAGGUAACAAACAGAACGUUAGAGAAAAAGCUAAAUGCUCUUUAGUACCACGCGCCUCUUUAGUUACUGAGUGCUGCACUACGUUUGAUGGGCCUAUGGAAUAACACAAACCAACAGCCUAAUUAACACCCCUUCUGUUAAGUCUGCAAGAAAAUCUCUUUAAAGGCUGUUAGUGACAGUGACACUGAGUGUCAGACAGAAUCAAUGUGCUUCCUUGAGGGACACGAUUGACUCUGAAAGUACUGGCUCAGGCACUGCCAGUAAAGGUUUAGCAAAGCGAGAUGGUUCUUUUGACUUCAGUGAGGGAAAGCAGCAUCAGAGAGAAGGAGGAAUGCGGGAUGGACCUCAGCAAUGUUCCUCCUUUCCAGCACAGUGUUCAUGCAAGGAAAACUCAUACAGCUCAGCUGCAUCCCAAGGAUUGCUCUGUUGUGCAAAACUCAUUUCAAAACGUGCACCUGUAAUACAUCUGUCUCCUGGAAUUAAAUGUAAAGAAAGUCCAGGUGAAGACUCCAGGGUGGGAGUCCCUGACUCUGCUAUAUGUGGGAGCACACAAAUCUGAGCAGCAGUUCUGCUAGAGCUAACGUCUUCUUCCCCUGAUUAAAAAAAUAUCAGUGAUCUAUCUGCUAGUUAAGUCCUCACUCUAUUAACGGAUAAACUUUCAUUGCACAGGACCAAUAUAAAACUCUUGGAGCCGUCCUUUUGGAAGUCCCCACAUCUUCUGCAGCGUGAACGUAUCCACCCGUGCCCACGUCACUUCUCCGGGGCCAGAAUGCCUCUGCACUCGAGAGCUCACGUAUAAAUAUUUUACACAGAAAUGCUGAAGCUCCCUUGGAUCCAAGCCUGUGACAUCUGUGGAGGAAGGAGCCCACCUCUUCAGGAUCAGAUGUUCAUGUUAUCACUCCCUCAGAAUGAUCUUUCCAAAAAAGAAAUGUGCAUUUCUCCUCGGAGUGGUGGCCAAGUCCUGCGGCGGGUUCAUCAGCUGCCACUGACACCAGGGCUAACAGCAGAGACCUCUUCAGCUUCCACAUGAUAUUAUUUCUUCUAAUCCAAACAAUGAGUCCUCUCAAAGCGCUUUGCUGGUGGUCUGGAGCAAACCCUGCCAGGGCGCAGUGACAACGUCCCAGCAUCGCUCAGAAAGAGCUGAGCUUGCCAUGGACAUCACUCCCUAUCCCUUCAAAUACCCCUCACACUUGGAUCCCUUGUGCUGUUCCUGCCCAUCUGCUGCCUCCGGUCUGUAAAAAGUUAAAUUAAUACAAAAACACAGGAAUUCCUAGAAAAGCUCCCUCUGGCUGCACAGCGCCAGCCUUUCCUUCUGGCAUCUCACAGUGCAAUUAAUUACACUUGAUGUGGAGUGGGCUCAUUACAUUUUCUAUGCUUCAGUGACCUCUUGGGAAGUUCAGAGGUUAUGAAUUUGAAGUAGUGUUUAUAGGUUAAAUUCAAACACGAAUUUGUGAAACAGAGGUUGGUUAACUUGCUUUGUACUAACUACUUAUGUUGACUUUGGGUAUAAGAUGAUACGGAUACAAACAUCAGGAGAAGAAUUUUUAGUAAAUGAAUUAACUGGAUGUAACAGGAGAAAUUAAAGAGGGACUUAUUUUUAAAGAAGAACCACAACUUAGAAAACACACAAUAGUGAAAGCUAUUAGAAAUCAUGAAAGUGCUCCCCGCAGAGGGUGAGGAAUCUGCUUUGUCUCUGGAAAUUCAAAACCAGACUCGGGACUGUGACACGUGUCAGUCACAGGUUCUCCCAGCCAGGAUUCACCAGGAUUCAUGAUAAGAUAUGACACUCUUCUGAUUGCAAAGCCUGCAAAACACAAAGGCUCAUAGUGAAAGCAGUCAUCAGAUUAUAGGAUUGCAGAUGGUUUGACAUCAGUAGUAAGAAAAUACAUCCAAGUUUAUCCCUGCAAUGUAAGAAAAAGACUUCAGCUAUUAAGGAGCUUGUACAUCUCAAAGGAGAGGACUACACUUUGCCAUCAGUAAGAGAAAGGCAACAUGUGUGGUUCAAUGAGCUCUUUAAGCAGGAGAAAUCAUGUAAUUAAUUUAAUCAGGAUUAAAUGAAGACAUAGGGUCAAAGGGAGAGGCCAGAAAAAUCCCCCAUUGAUGGGGCUGUGAUCAAUGAAGGCAUCGCAUGCCAGGUAUAAACCCCAUUGAUAAAGAUGCAACCGUAAAGUAAAACAUAGCAACAAGAACAAAGAUGAGUGGCAAAACUGCCUCCUGAAUUAUGGCUGCCUGAACUUUAACAUGGCUGUUUUGUCUGAUGGACGAUAGCAAUGCUGACGUUGCCUGUGACGGCCAAAGAGUAGGAAGAGUGAUGCAGAGGUAAGGACUGGAAAUCAUCAGCUAAUGCAGAAAUAGCCUUACUCAGCUAGAUGUAGUGGUUGAUGCAGCACUUGCAAGACAUUAUGUACUCCCAAAGGCACACAUAAAGAAAUAUUGUAUCCUUACUGGUGGCAAAACCAAAACAAAACCACAUCUGUAUCAAUUCAGGGGUCAGGCCAUUUAUUCAGGAUGCAAAUGCAUCCUGAGCUGCAGAUAUUAGCAACUAUAAUAUUUGCUAUGCCAGAUAAAUAAGAAUAAAAACCUCAGAAUGGCCAAUUUACUGUUUUGAAGCGCGCAGUUUAAGGUGUAAAGAUGCUUCCAGCUUACUAAGAACUGCAAUCGCAGGGGGAUGAGCGCUGCGGACAGGCCCGGCCGGUACCCGAGUGUGAUGGAGCACGUGAACCGGGCACCAGCAGCAUCAGAAAUACAGGAUCCAGAAAGCAGCAAAACAGUAAAAGGCAACCAAAUCACAGCAGAUGUACUGAAAGUCCCUGACACCUUCCUGGAGACACCAAGUUGCUGGCCAAAAUGUCUUGAGAAUAAGCGAGCUCUUCUCUCCCACCUGCACACCAAAAGCCUUAGAAGCAAUUUUAACUGGAGCAAUGGGGAAGCUUUUCCACAGCGAGUUUACAGAGAAAGAGGCGGCGCACACAAUGCUUAAACUAAAAUCUACAGCAAUCAGAAUGAGAGACGGAUAUUGAAAAGAGAAAAAGAGGUUAACCUAAAAUUAAAAUGCACUUAAACAAUUAGCUCUGAGUUUGAGAGAUGUCUGCUGCCACAAUGAAUAUCAGAAUAUAACAAUAAUUGCUUAGAUAUAUAUAUAUUAAUAG